ensembl:misc_RNA Y_RNA Y RNA
GGCUGCUCUGAGUGCAGCAGUGUUUACAACUCAUUGAUCACAACCAGUUACAGAUUUUAUUUGUUCCUUCUCCAUUCCCACUGCUUCACCUGACUAGCCUUAA